CCUACGGGAGGCUGCAGUGGGGGAUAUUGCACAAUGGGGGAAACCCUGAUGCAGCGACGCCGCGUGGGUGAAGAAGCGCCUCGGCGCGUAAAGCCCUGUCAGCAGGGAAGAAAAUGACGGUACCUGAAGAAGAAGCCCCGGCUAACUACGUGCCAGCAGCCGCGGUAAUACGUAGGGGGCAAGCGUUAUCCGGAUUUACUGGGGGUAAAGGGGGCGCAGGCGGGGGUGCAAGCCAGAGGGGAAAGCCCGGGGCCCAACCCCGGGACUGGUCUUGGGACUGCGUGGCUAGAGUGCAGGAGGGGCAGGCGGAAUUCCUGGUGUAGCGGUGAAAUGCGUAGAUAUCAGGAGGAACACCGGUGGCGAAGGCGGCCUGCUGGACUGCAACUGACGUUGAGGCCCGAAAGCGUGGGGAGCAAACAGGAUUAGAUACCCCUGUAGUC
rnacentral:rRNA from 1 species